rnacentral:rRNA from 1 species
UAGGGAAUCUUCCACAAUGGACGGCAAGUCUGAUGGAGCAACGCCGCGUGAGUGAAGAAGGUCUUCGGAUCGUAAAAACUCUGUUGUUAGAGAAGAACACGAGUGAGAGUAACUGUUCAUUCGAUGACGGUAUCUAACCAGCAAGUCACGGCUAACUACGUGCCAG